rnacentral:rRNA from 1 species
CAAAAAAAUAAGUAAUUAUUUUUUUGUUUUAGUGGCGGACGGGUGAGUAACGCGUAAGAAUCUACCUUUAGGAGGGGGAAAACAAUUGGAAACGGUUGCUAACACCCCAUAUGCUGAGGAGUAAAAUACAUUGUGCCUAGAGAUGAGCUUGCGUCUGAUUAGUUAGUUGGUAAGGUAAUUGCUUCCCAAGACUAUGAUCAGUAGCUGGUCUGAGAGGAUGAUCAGCCACACUGGGACUGAGACACGGCCCAGACUCCUACGGGAGGCAGCAGUGAGGAAUUUUCCGCAAUGGGCGAAAGCCUGACGGAGCAAUGCCGCGUGGAGGAUGAAAGCCUAUGGGUUGUAAACUCCUUUUCUCAGAGAAGAAAUUUUGACGGUAUCUGAGGAAUAAGCAUCGGCUAACUCCGUGCCAGCAGCCGCGGUAAUACGGGGGAUGCAAGUGUUAUCCGGAAUAAUUGGGCGUAAAGCGUCUGUAGGUGGUUGACCAAGUCUGUUGUUAAAAAUCAGGGCUUAACCCUGAUCCGGCAACAGAAACUAGUAAACUUGAGUACGGUAGGGGCAGAGGGAAUUCUCGGUGUAGUGGUGAAAUACGUAGAUAUCGAGAAGAACACCAAUAGCGAAAGCACUCUGCUGGGCCGAAACUGACAUUGAGAGACGAAAGCUAGGGGAGCAAAAGGGAUUAGAUACCCCUGUAGUCCUAGCCGUAAACGAUGGAUACUAAGUGCUGUGCGACUCAAAACGUCCAGUGCUGUAGCUAACGCGUGAAGUAUCCCGCCUGGGGAGUAUGCUCGCAAGAGUGAAACCCAAAGGAAUUGAC